rnacentral:rRNA from 1 species
UACGUAGGGUGCGAGCGUUGUCCGGAAUUAUUGGGCGUAAAGGGCUCGUAGGCGGGUCUGUCGCGUCGGGAGUGAAAACUCAGGGCUUAACCCUGAGCCUGCUUCCGACUACGGGCAGACUAGAGGUAUGCAGGGGAGAACGGAAUUCCUGGUGUAGCGGUGAAAUGCGCAGAUAUCAGGAGGAACACCGGUGGCGAAGGCGGUUCUCUGGGCAUUACCUGACGCUGAGGAGCGAAAGCGUGGGUAGCAAACAGG